rnacentral:ncRNA from 1 species
UGGAAACGGUUGCUAAUACCCCGUAGGCUGAGGAGCAAAAGGAGAAAUCCGCCCAAGGAGGGGCUCGCGUCUGAUUAGCUAGUUGGUGAGGCAAUAGCUUACCAAGGCGAUGAUCAGUAGCUGGUCCGAGAGGAUGAUCAGCCACACUGCGACUGAGACACGGCCCAGACUCCUACGGGAGGCAGCAGUGGGGAAUUUUCCGCAAUGGGCGAAAGCCUGACGGAGCAAUGCCGCGUGGAGGUGGAAGGCCUACGGGUCGUCAACUUCUUUUCUCGGAGAAGAAACAAU